GACCGGGUCAUGAACCCGUGUCCCCUGCAUCAGCAGGCGGACUCUCAACCACUGCGCCACCAGGGAAGCCCCAGCUUUAGCUUCUAAUUAACCAUAUGAAUCCAUGGCUAUGAGCUGCUGCUGGGGCCACUGAGUGCUUCCCUGCUCGGAACCGGUGACCACUGUGAGCCGUGGUGUCAUUCCAGUACUGAGGAGAUGGAUUGACUGCAAAGGCCCCGGAAAAAAAAAAUGUAUAGCCUUGGUGGGGCAAUGCAGUUUUGGAGUAUCUGGAGAGGCUGCCGGCUGUGAUGCCAGAGUUUUGUGCUCACAUGGGGAAUGAGAGAACCACCACCACAAUCAAGACCUAGGACAGGAGAAUGAAAUGAAAACCCUGUAGUCCAAGGCAACUUUGUGGAUCAGGCGCUGUGGGCUGAAUCCUGGAGAAGGACAAGUCCAAGCUAGAAGAAACAUUCACGAUCACUCAGAGCUGGAGACCCAGAUGGUUAGUAACAGAACCAGGGCUAGAACCCAAGCCUUGGGAGCCCCCUUCUCAUGGCCCUUCUGUUAUACCACACUGCCUUCUCUUGAUGAUCCUUCUUUUAAAUCAGAGGUUGGCAAUUUUUUUCUGUAAAGGGCCAGAUAGUAAAUAAUUUAGGCUUUGCAGGCCAAUGGUUGCUGUCACAGCUGCUCAACUCUGCCAAUUUUAUGUGAAAGCAGCCAUAGAGGAUAGUUCCAUAAAUGAGCAUGGCUGGGUUCCAGUGAAGCUUUAUUUACAAACACCAGUGGUAGGCAUGAUUUAUCCCCUGUUUUACACCAUUGAAGUCAUGGCAAUUUCUGCUUGAUGGUCACCAAAAGACUACUGAGUCCUAGAGAGUUAAAGCCACCACCCAGUCUGCUGGUGAGCCAGGCUGUUGCAUCACAACCCACACAUGACUGGGCUUCCUUCCAGGUCUGUGUAUAAUCGGACUCUGAGCCAGCAGCCAAGAGAGUGAGCCUGGCACCCACAGCACUCCAGUUUCCAGAAGGAAUCACAAAUUCCCUUCCUGUGCAGAUACAGAAACAAUUGUACCACAGGAGAAUUACUGGAAAGUAAUGCAGGGUCAUCAGGAAGGAAAAGGAAUUCACUCGUUGGUCACAGUCUUCAGUCUGGUUGGGAGUCACUCAGACCUGGAAAGGUCAGCGAGGAUGCAUGUCUGGUUUGGGCAGGCCUGCAGGACUCUAUACUCACAGGAUGAUACACUGGGCUUUGGUGAUUUCUGUGGCCUCAGAGCUUCCUUUGGCUGCUCCAGUCAUCCUUUUCUCCUCACAGCCAGGUAUAUCAUUCCCCCCACUGUUUCAUCCCUCACCCCAUUUAUCAUCUGCCAGUGCUAAGCUUUUGUUCCUGUUAAUCAAAAUCUUCUAUAGGCAAAUAUUGUCUUCUCUCAAUUUUGUCUUCCACAAAACUUGACGACUUGACUUUUGAGUCCCAGGUCUGAGGCCCUCUAAGACAAAUGUACAGAAAAUAAGAAGAUCAGUGCAAAAAGCUUGGGUUAAACCCUAUGCUUAUGCCAAUGAACUGGAUGACUGUUUCAGUAUGUGUGUAUUAAUAUGUGUGCACGUGUGUGUGUGUGUUCACGUGUGUGUCUUUGUGUACAUAUCUGUGUGUAUCUGAGUUUGACCUUUAAAUCAGGAGGUCACCUUCCCUUUGGGCCUCUCUGCACAGGGAAGGUCUUUUAGUAACCUGGAUGCUCUUGCUCUUAGACUCAUGAGUAGUUGUUCUCCAGCCACCAUUCUCAAGUCUUCACUCCUUCCCUCUCAUUUUUCACCAUGCAAAUCCACGUAAUGGUCUUUUUCAAAGUUGAAAGAGUCGAGGACUUUUAAAGGCUGGAUGAUGUUUCCAAUGGAUUUAAUGAUCUAAUCCUCAAAAGAGUACAUGCAUUACCUGUUUUGAUGACCAACUGGUCAGACCUGCUACUGGGCAUAAGCUCCUAAUGAAUGUCUAAAUCCUUGGAGCUGAAGCGAUUUAGGAAAAAAUGUACAUUAUUAUUAGUUCCCCAAGUAGCACUCUGGCCCCUGGGGAAAGGGAUGCUGGUAGUUAAUGUGAGAGGAAGCAGAAAUGAGGAGGAAGGAAGAAAGGAAGGAAUAUUUGAUUAUUUCCUCAUAAAGAACCAAUUCCUUGAGCACCUGGCUAUGGUUCCUGCUGCUGUGAGAAGAAUAUAAACGGCUUUGAUAUUCCAUUGUUUGUUUCUGGGAAACAUUUGCUUACUCUUCUGAACUGCCUGGCUCUCAGACUGGCAACAGGGAAGAAAAUGUGGUGGAGAUGAAAGGAAAACUCCAGCCCAAGUGCUUUAAAUCAGAUUAGCUUUUCCCUUAAAACCCGCUUGCAAAUUCUUCUUAAUAAAUCUCUGGUUGAUUUUUAGUUACACUUCUUUCCCCUGAAGAGAGGCAUAUUCUUAAGUGUACGGGUUCUACUGUUCUGCUCACACCAUUGCUUUUUUGUUAGUUUCUUUAAUGACCUACUUUGUUUUGAUGAAAUCUUUAUCAUCCUCAGUAACACUAACGCUGAGGAAUGAAAUGAGUACAAAUGAAAAAACAGCUCACAAAACAGAAGCGAGAAAAGGUGGGGGAAGAGAAGUGAUGGUGGGUGGAUGAAUUUGAAAUGGCUCAUCACCACAAGGUGGCGCUGUUAAAACACCUCAUUUUAAAGUCCUAAAAAGGUUGCAAAUAAAGAAGGAAAACACAAAAUUAAAGAGCCUUUCGCAUAGAAAAUACUUUGUAUCAAAGGAGUGGUGUGUGUGUGUGGGUGUGUAUUAAAGAUAAAAUCAUUUUGGGAAGAGUAAAUGUUAUAGGAAGCAGUGAUAGAAUUGUGUUUGUUUUUGAGGGAGGUGUUUUAUAGUUGAUACUCUUAUAGUUCAAAUAUUAAAUAUUUUUAUUGGAUAUUAAGUAUAUUUAAUCCCAACCAGAUAUUUCUGGGAAUCUCCUGAAGUGUGACAUUGUAGACACCAGAAUGAUGGGUUAUGCUUACCAUUCCUUAAUCCAUUUUCAUUCUACACGGAGAACUUGCACACUAAGGGCAUUUAUUUGAAAACAAUUAGUGCCCCAUUAGGGGAAACAUGAAGCCUGCAGGGUCUCAAAUGUUCUUGACUGCUUUGGGAACUUGGUGUGUGGAAAAUUGGUAAAUUAAUACUCGGAAAAUAAUUCCUUACUUUAAAACAUGUUGUCUGUUAUGCGACUCCCUUGGUACUGGUACCAUUGUCAUUAAAAAUGAACGUUUUCAUGUUUGUGCAUUCUGUGUGUGCAUAGGGCAUCCAUUUACUGAUGGACAGAGAGAUGAAAAGCUGAUAUUUUGCAAGUUUGAACCCUGAAGGUGGGGUAUUGAUAUAACGGUGCAGAUAAUCUUACUCCUGAAGAAAGGCAGGAGUGGCAAAUGAUCUAAUGUAAGUGAGUAGAAGCGCCCAGAAGUUUACAUUGAUGCUCCUUUAUUUCAUCACCAUAGCAACUCUCCGACAGAUGAUGUUAAUAUCUCCAUUUUCAAGGAGAGGCUCUAAGAAGUUAAGUAACCUGUCAACUGUCACAAAGCCACUGUGUGGCAGACUCAGGAGGUAAGCCCAGAAAUUAUUCAUGGGAGAACAGUGCAAGCAUGUGAAAGGGAAAAAGGUCUAGGUUGUCUUGCAAUUUGUAUUUGGAUAAAACCUGGGAAAAUGACAUGGGUCUCUUUGAAAGAAAGAGACCUGCUCUGUACUAAUGCCUGUUUCCUCUACAACCAGGUGAGGUAUGUAUAUAUCGUAAUACACACACACAGGCACACACAUUUUUUUUUUUGCUUCUUUUAUAUAAAUUUUCAUCAACUUCUAUCUCAGCAUAACUAUAACAUUUUCUACCAUCCACAAAGCAGGAGGCCUGGAAAAACUGCUGGAUUUUUGCCAUAGCUGGGGAAAACAGUGCAAGUUGAUCAUGAAAAUUGUAGCUGUGAUAUCUCCCAGAUAAUUCGUACUACAGAGGCAUUGACCCAGCUGGAAGUUCAGUUCAUCGUAUAGAAAUCAACUGGUUCCUGCUUCGGGAAAAAUAUGUUAAUGAGAAUAUAUAACUCCAAGGACAGGGUGAUAUAUAGUAGAUACUCAAUGUGCUGUUAGAAUCUUAAGCCUAUAGAAAUAUUAAAAAAAUGCUUUUUGUUGUUUUGAAGUAUCUGAAAGAACUAUAUAUCUCUUACUAGACUUUAUGAUUGAACUGUAUUUAGGGUAGUAGUGUUUAGCCUAUCUUUUUCAGAGGUGCCUCUGUGUCCAUCUGGGAAGUUGUGUGUAGGGAAAUAUUGUGUGUGAGGGUGGUGACGGUGUGUGUGGAGGGAGUGUAAUGGGACAGGUGGGCUUUGGUCAUCCACUGCAGCUUAUUCUGGAGCAGCUGGGCUAUUUCUGACACAUAUAGUGCUUUUGUACUUGUGGAAUAUUCGAUUUUGAUGGUAAGUCCCAUAAUACAUCAAGGAUCUAAGAGAUUUAUUUAGGACAGUUCAUCACUCAGUCAUACUUAAAAUAUUCAGAUAUUUUGAUGUUUUUAAAAAAAUGAGAGAAUAUCCACUUUGUCCUAUGGCUAUCAAAAUUGAAUGUGACAUAAUAUUUGAGAAGAAAAAAUCAUUAUAGAUUUUAAAAAGAUGCACCACAAAGGAUUGAAUUCCUAAUUUUACAUAAAAAAAGGAAAGAAUCUCACUCUAUGAUGACAAAUCUUGAACCAGCUGGAGGCUGAUUAAUAUAGAAGUAAGAGCAACUAAGAAACAUUUUGACGGAAGCAGAAGACCUGGGGUUUAUGUUGAAGUUUUUGGUGUGUCCUCUGGUGGUUCUGAAACAUUGACAGGAGUGCCAUUUAUUUCUUUGUUUCUUUGCUCGGUUGUUCACUUCUAUAUAUUAUGAAGGGACCUCAAAUGCCCACUGUAUAGAAGUGAAUCAGGAGACUUGGAUCCACUGACAGCUGUAAGACUUCUUUGUUUCUGAGAAAGGUGUGCUGUUUACAUUCUAGCCUAUUAGUUGUGUUUUUAGGAUAACAUCUUUGGUAAAAGUGCCACCUGCUUGUUGUUGCAAUUGCACUGUUGCCAUUUGCCUGUUUUGCUAAUGAUUUGCUGCAGUUGAAACAUGGUGUGACUUGGUCUGGUUCCCAGGUCCUGAGAUCACAAGAAACACAGACAGGUACCUGCUUGAUUCUCCAAGGCUGCAGACAUUCCUCAGCAUGCAUCGUGCAGUACAUGCUGAACUUCCUGUGCCGUCGCAUAUCCAGCCAUCAGGCCCUCACCGGAGGGCUUGGGGGAUACUUGGGAGAACUUUGUUUAUAUGGGCUCAAGGUCAAGCAAUCUGUUUUAGACCUUCGGAAACUUAGCUUAAGGAAUAUUAAAAGGUCUCAUAAAGGAAGUUUGGAGUGUUGGCUAGCAGUUGGUUUGUUAAUGAGACUUAAGAAUCAUAUCUUGUCAUGCUAGUUAAUCAGUUAAUAAAUUAUUUUCAAUAUGAUAUUUCCUUUUUUCUUAAAAAAAAGUUUGUCCCUGACAGUAAAGGGUUGCCAAGAAUGUAGUCUUUGGUGAUUUCUUGUGGAAUAUGCCUUUGCUUUUUUUAUUAUGCCCCACCCCUCCUCAGUAUGGAGAAACAACAAAGGAGAAAGGGAAAUUUAGGGUAAAUAAGGAAACUCAGGGUCAGGAAUCAAACUGAGAUUUUUGGGUUCCAAGUUCAGUACACUGUUUUGACAUUAUUCCUAGCCAACCAAGUAUUUAAUAGCUCAUCAACAAGAACUUGAGACUCUGGCCUCAUUUUUGAGAUUCACAUACACCAGAAACUAACUGUUAGGGAGCAAUGCCCAAGGGCACAGUUAUCACUAGUUGAUUCAUACACAGCCUCAUUCCAUAAAAGGAAUGAAGUGGUCUGCAGCAAUGACACAUACAAUAAAUGAUGGUAAAAAGUAAAUUGGAGGAGCUGGAAGAUCCAGAUCGGGACAAGAGGCUGAUGUGAACUUAACCAAAGGACUUCAAGUGUGUUUGAGCUCAUCAGCUGUGACAGCCCAGCCUCCUCUGUGGCAGCGAGCCAAGCUGAAUCCAAGUGCAAAAGGACCACAGACACAAAGUAAGGAGCUAAGAAGCCUUCCCUCAUAAAAAUAUCCUCCCUGAGUGCUUAGAAUAUCCAUCACCACUCAGUUCACUGCACACUAGAAAGUGAAACAAUUUAAUAGAGUUAAUUUACCUGUAUAUGAAAUCACCGUUUAUUGUUACGGAAUCAGGCACGAAGCGGGCAGUCUUGUUGGUGAAAGCAGGUCAGGUUGGGAGGUUAGUGCCCUGAGGCUGAGGCCCAAGUGGGCAAUGCAAGGACCUUGUACCUGGGGAGGGAGACAGCAGUGUGCAGGUGGGGAGCUCUGAUGACAAAUGUGAUCUACAUCACAGUUUUUUUUUUUUUU